rnacentral:rRNA from 1 species
GACGAACGCUGGCGGCGUGCCUAAUACAUGCAAGUCGAACGCACAAGGAGGAGCUUGCUUCUCUGGAUGAGUUGCGCACGGGUGAGUAACGCGUAGGUAACCUGCCCGGUAGCGGGGGAUAACUAUUGGAAACGAUAGCUAAUACCGCAUAAUAGAUGAUGUUGCAUGACAUUUGCUAAAAAGAUGCAAUUGUAUCACUACCAGAUGGACCUCCGUGGAAUUAGCUAGUUGUUGGGGUAACGGCCCACUAAGGCGACGAUACAUAGCCGACCGGGGAGGGGGACCGGCACACUGGGACUUGGGCACCGCCCAGGACUCUUCGGGGAGGCACAGGAGGGAAUCUUCGGGCAAUGGCGGAAGGCUGGACGAAGCACGGCGCGGUAGUGGAGGAAGGUCUCGGGUCGUAAAACUCUGUUGUUAGGGAAGGAAGAAAGGGGGAGGGAAAAGUUCACGCUGUGACGGUACCUUAUCAGAAAGCGACGGCUAACUACGUG